rnacentral:rRNA from 1 species
UCAGACGAUGCGUCAUGCAUAUCAAUAAGCGGAGGAAAAGAAACUAACAAGGAUUCCCCUAGUAACGGCGAGUGAAGCGGGAAGAGCUCAAAUUUGAAAUCUUAAAGGGUUUCCCUUUACGAAUUGUAGUUUAAAGAAGUGUUUUCUGUUGAGGUUUUGGUAAAAGUUCUUUGGAACAGGACAUCAUAGAGGGUGAGAAUCCCGUAUUUGACCUUUACUUUCAACUUUGUGAUACACUUUCAAAGAGUCGGAUUGUUUGGGAAUGCAGUCCAAAAUGGGUGGUAAAUUUCAUCUAAAGCUAAAUAUUGGCGAGAGACCGAUAGCGAACAAGUACCGUGAGGGAAAGAUGAAAAGAACUUUGAAAAGAGAGUUAAACAGUACGUGAAAUUGUCAAAAGGGAAGCGUUUGACACCAGUGUUGUUUUUCUGAAAAUCAAUUAAAGAACUGUUUAUGCUAAGCUGUUUAGACUUUAUCAGCUAUCUGUUUAGUUUUGAGCUUUUCUUUAAUGCACUUUUCAGUUAACAAGUCAACAUCAAUUUCUUUUGCUGUAAAAAAGCUUGAGGAAGGUGGCUUGAGAUUCGUCUUAAGUGUUUAUAGCCUCUUGCCUAUGCAGUCGGAGAGAUUGAGGUCUGUAGCGUAGAUCCUUCGGGGCUAAAUGCAUUUGUGCUAAGUUAUAGCAUUUCAUAGGCAACUUGUUGACUAUGAUUUGUCUUGUAGCUUACUCGCUUAUGUUAUUUUACCUACGCUUAGGAUGUUGAAUCUGUGCGAGACUAC